CGAACUAUUUGGCUUCUAAUUGUAAAGGAACAUAGAAACUGAGAAGAGGGAGAGAAGAGAGAGGGUUCAAAGAUACUUGGGCAAAACCAAGAAGAGAGGGUUCACCUAGAAGGCUUUGGCUUUGGUUUCUAAUCAAAAUGAACCCAAAAGGUUUCAUCAAAAAGGAGAAGGGUUCGGAGGGAGCUCAAUCUCAUCUCUCUGAAUCGUCUCAUUGAAGAAGGGUUACCUGUUAUGAUCUCAUAGUGCGCAAUAUGUGGAGUGGAGCAUACCAGUGUUGGGGAAAAGAGAACAGAGAAGGACCAUUGAGGAAAACUUAUUCUAAUUUGUAUUACAGUGAUAUUUAGGUUCUAAAAUGGUUAUGCACCUCCUUUAGGUGCUAGCAGAAGAAGGCAAAGCUAAGGUUGUUGCCUUUGAUGAAAUUGACAAAGCCCUUGAAGAGAAAAAUAGAGGGAUUACAAUUGCAACGAUGGGUUAUAGUUUUUUUCCCCCUUGUUUUUUCACACCAUUAUGCUAGGCUGUAUGAUUUUGUGUAGCAUCCAUAUUUCUCCUUGAAACCAAGUAAGAUUUUUGAAGCAUCUAUCUAUAUUGAACACAAGGAAUGACUUGAUGUUGUAGGCCCAUGUGGAGUAUGAGACUACUGAGCAGCAUUAUGCACAUGUAGAUUGCCCAGGACAUACAGAUUAUGUUAAAGUAAGCCUUAAUUGACAUGGAUUUGCACCAAAAGAACAACUGUAUUUGCUUUAUCAUUAUUAGAUAUCAUCAUAAUUACUAAUGUAAUUGUAACUGUAGCUAUUAUUGUUAUUAUUAUUGCUUCUUUUGUUGUUA